ACACACCCUCGGAUUGACGUGCGCACGCGCACCGGUUACCUUCAGGAGCGCCGAAGAAGGAAAGAAGGUUGGAAUAACACAGAGCCCGAGGCAAAGCUUAAGUGCUUACGCUUUUGUCGGGAGGUACAGACCCAGCUCUGCGAGAGCCAGGGGAAAAGGAAGAGAGGCAGGGAAGGAAUGGCAGCAAGUACAAGGUGAUGAAUGACUGCACUGGCCAUUGCUUCAUGAAGAGCCACGAAAAAACAGAGCCGGUUUCUCAGCAGGUGGCUGGCUGCUCAGUCACAAAGGACCUCUUUGGACAGGCUUUAUGGAAAUACUGUGCCUAGGACAGUCGCUCAAAGGCAGGAGGGAGAGAAAAUGCAUCUGCAAGCUCACUUUGUCUUCUUUCUUCUGCUGGUCAAAAUUUGCUGGCUGGGGCAGUUAACGCCCUCACACAUCCGAGUUGUGUCACCUGGCCCCUUUGGUAGCCACUGGGGAAGCCAGAUCUAGGCAUGUGGCCUGAUGGCUCCUGCGGUGGAACCACAUGCUCACACUCAGUCAGUCACCACUGGGAUGCCCUGGGCAGGGCAGGCUGAGUGGCUGGGAGAUAGCUGAGCCUAAGAUAUCUAAGCAAGCACCUGUGAUGUAUGCACUGCAGUGUCCAAAUGUGAAAAAGCAAGAAAGGGAGAUAGAAGCAUAUUUUUUUCUGGAGAGAAGGAGGAAACCACCAGGAGAAUACAAACAGAAAAAAGACUGCCAGCUCCGUGACAGCAAGAACCUUGUAUGACUUUUUCAUGAUGGAUGUUCAUCUGUGCCAUCUGUAAAUAUUGAAUAAAUAUUUGUGGAAUACAUGAAUCUAAAAGUGAAUGGAAUGAUAAAGAGGGAAAGGGUCAUGACAUCUACUACAGCAUUUGGCACAGACCCAGCUGUCUGCAGUACUAUCAAGAGAUGACAUGGACUUCAAGGAUCAAACAGGGGAGAAAAAGGCUUAAAAGAAAAACAAGUCUCCAUCAAAGGUAAUAACCACAAUGAGAACUAUACAUAGCUAUGUGCUUAUAGGUCUUAGUUCACAUUCCCCUCAUUAAAAUUAUAGCUCAAGAAAUAAAGGGCUGUUUAAUGACUUGGGUAUAUAAAUAUACUUCAUUUGUAUAUUUUUUACUUGCUAAAAUCUAUCCAAAUUGGUAUUACCUCAAACCAUAAUCUUCUACUGUAUUUUAUAAUUUUACUUUAUUGCCAUGUAUUUUUCCCACUGAUGUUCACAAAUUCACAGGAAACAUCAGCCAUGUACUAAAUAAAAUAUGAAUUGAAUCGACAAAUAGAACUAUAAA
ensembl:lncRNA ERICH2-DT ERICH2 divergent transcript